CCCCUACGUGCCCCUGACCCCGGCCAGCUGCUCUACCCGGGCAACCAGAGCGAGAGACCGCUCCUGAGUGAUGGGGCCUAGAGUUUUCUCCCGGGGAAGGAGUGCGGGGAUAACUAGGGGCGCAGAUAGGACCUGACUUUCCUCCUCCCACCUCCAGCUCCGCUCGAGGGCCGCCGUCAGCCCCAGUAACCCCGCUUUCCUGGGUUUGAGAGAAAAGCCGGGUCGGUAACAGCCUUAACUCUUGCUUCCCACGGGGGCGCUAUUGAUACUCUGGCUUGCUUUCUUUUGCCCGCUUUCCCUGCCAUCCAGAGAACCGAGCCAAGUUCCUCCUUGGCGAGGCCACCAGAUGGACACCCAGACCUUUCUCCACCUUCAAGUCAAGCCCUGACGUACACUGGGAUGCGCUACUAUCUAGGAUUCUCUACACUUUGACUUCCCACCUCUCCGCGGACCUCACCUUGUGCUAAGUGGUUUUUUCCGAGGUGCUAGAUGUUGGGCCGGAUGCUUAGUAUAAACGUUGGUCCUUCAGACGCCAUCGCCCUCCGCCCAAGACCUGUGCUGGUCCUCUGCUGUCCUCCGGGCGUCUCAAGUACUUCUCAAGUACACUAGGGGAAGGAAAAGGACUCCCAGAUCCCCAAACCUUUAUCGCCAACUCCUGACCAGUUUUCAAGACUCAGCUCCACAUUUCGAGGGACCUGCAGAAUAUCCAUUCUUGCGCCUCGCCUCCAGCCUUUCCAGUGUCGUAUAAGUACUUCCUGCAGGUUACUCUUCCCCGACUGCACCCUGACAUAACACUUCUCUGUUCAUGAACGUUUCCUAGCGUCCACAUUCCCUACUAAACAGUGUCUGCUGAUUUCUGUGCACUGCACGCCAGUCUCUCCUGGGAUGCGCCUCUCCCAGUCUUAGGUCUAAACCAUUCCAGCACUUCAAGGCCCGCUUCAAACUUGGCCUCCUCCGUGACCCCUCCCUUUUGUCGUACGUACGUAGUACGUGGUCAGAACUAUCUUUUUAAAGACAUAUCACCUUCCGCGCCCUACAGAAUACAUGUGCUUUCUAUGUACAAGCCUUACCACUUUAAAUGUUUCUCCAGGGUGGAUUCCAUAUCACUUUGCAUUUUUUCCCCUAUAACCCAAAGCCAAGCACGUUUGAGAUACCUAUUCAUCCAACAGAUACUAUUUUGCAACUUUUGUCAGGCACUCGGUAUUUGUUAAAUGAGUGGAAUUUACAAAACAUUUCGUCUAGAAAGACUGCUUAAGAUUCGUUUUUAGGGGGCAGGGUAUAGCUCAAGUGGUAGAGCGCAUACUUAGCAGGCAGGAGGGCCAGGGUUCCAUCCCCAGUACCUCCUCCAAAUAUAAAUAAAUAAAUAAACCUACCUACCUCCCCCUCAUGAAACAAAAGAAAAAAGAAAAAAAGAUUCAUUUUGAGGUGUGCCUAAACGUAAAGUAGUAUUAUCUUUCACACAUUUUAUGGGUGGUGAAAAAUCCCCUUACUUUCCUAGCCCACAUCAACAUCACUCAUCACCUUCAAUAAGAAUUUAAUUAUUUGACAAGUAUUUGUUAAAAGUAUUUUUUAUUUUAAAUUUCCGUAAGAGUUUAGAAAUUUAAAUCCAUUUUCUUACUAAGUGGUCAUAGGUCAAGAGAGCAAAUUAUUUAUCGUGUAAAACACUGCUGCUAUCUCCACUAACAGGAAGUAGGGUGCUAGGACCCAUCAUGCCUAAGUCUUGUCUGUAAGCAUGCAGUGAUACGGAAAACAACCUUUGGAAAUAAAAUCUAAUUCUACUUACUAAAUUACUCAUAGCUCAAAUGGAUUACAGAGAAUAACCUUAAUAUACACAUUUUUUUUGAAAAGCUGAGUUCUCCAUAUGCACAGCUUGAAUUCUGGAUGGCUGCUAAGGCUCUUGUGUUGAUUAUCACCAUGUGGUUUUACUGCCUUAGUGUUUUGUAUUUUUUGUAUAAUUAUGUAUUUUUUAAAUUAUUCUCCAAACAAAAGAUCAAAACGAUCUAGCUGAAAAGUUAGACAUAUUUUCACAUUGCUUCUUAAGCCAUCUUUUUUGACCUUUAUUAAUGUUUAUGAAAUGUUCCUUUUGCUUGUAUUUCAAUUUCUCAGAUUUAUCAUGAGAUGAAAUCAUGUUAAUAAAAAAGAGGAGAAAUAUCUGUUUACUAUGUCAAAAUGCUUUCCUCAUAACACUUGGUAAAAUAAAUCACUUUAAUAUAAGGUUAACCUGAAGUAAUCUUAUGUGUAUCAUAAGAUUAAUUUAGAUGAACAAUGUUAUUUCCUCAUACAUCACGAUGCUGUAUAUUGGAAUUUUGAUGUAUAUACACACAAUACCGAGAAAAAUAGAUUUUUGGUAAUUUUUGUUCAAUAAAGUAUCUGAAAAAUAUUUAGUAUAAUCUGAAUAACAUAGUUACUGACUACACUUUAACUUACCAAACUGGAAUUUUCAUUGGCGAGUUGACUUACGGGAAGAGCCUGUAUAGAUGAGAAUAAAGGAGAAAAGGCUGGAGAAUGAACAUUUUUUAAAAUGCUAAAAGGAGAAGGGGAAGAAUUUGCAAAUUUUUGGAGACUAAAUAAUUAGAAUUUGAUUUAAAUUCAUUUAAAAAGUCAAAUGGAAAGAAGUGUAUAUAGCAUAUUGAGUGAAAUCAAACAGAAAUAAAAGCGAAUUUAGAGGAAGAGUCUUUAAAAGUGAUGUGAACUACAUUAAAGGAAAAA